GUUGAUAUGUUAUUUCAUCACCCGAGUUCUCAAGCCAAGAAGAAGAAGUCACACCACUAUUUCCAAAGAAGACUGCAAACUCAUGCAUGCAAUUGCCUCCGGAGCGCGAUUAAACUAUUGUAAGUUAAUCAAGCUUCACAUGCGUGCUGCUUCUGCCGAGGACAAGCAUCUUCCUUAUGCUCUCCUUGUCAUGAAAUUUCUUGAAUCCGUCGGAAUUAUCACAGAAAAUGGUCCACUUCAAAAUCGGACCAAACAUUGGGAAAUUUCCGAGUCUUCAUUUCACAGUGGUGGCGAUCAUGAUAAUCAACCUCCUCAAAAUCCUCCUCAAAAUCCGCCUCAAAAUCAAGAUCCAAAUGCGGAGAUAGUAAAUCAUCUUACCCGUAUUGAAACAAAAGUUGACACUUUGUCCCGCUN
rnacentral:lncRNA from 1 species